UACGUAGGGUGCAAGCGUUAAUCGGAAUUACUGGGCGUAAAGCGUGCGCAGGCGGCUUUGCAAGACAGAUGUGAAAUCCCCGGGCUCAACCUGGGAACUGCAUUUGUGACUGCAUGGCUAGAGUACGGUAGAGGGGGAUGGAAUUCCGCGUGUAGCAGUGAAAUGCGUAGAUAUGCGGAGGAACACCGAUGGCGAAGGCAAUCCCCUGGACCUGUACUGACGCUCAUGCACGAAAGGCGUGGGGAGCAAACAGG
rnacentral:rRNA from 1 species